GCUGAACGCUGGCGGCGCGUCUAAUACAUGCAGUCGAGCGAACAGACGAGGAGCUUGCUCCUCUGACGUUAGCGGCGGACGGGUGAGUAACACGUGGAUAACCUACCUAUAAGACUGGGAUAACUUCGGGAAACCGGAGCUAAUACCGGAUAAUAUAUUGAACCGCAUGGUUCAAUAGUGAAAGACGGUUUUGCUGUCACUUAUAGAUGGAUCCGCGCCGCAUUAGCUAGUUGGUAAGGUAACGGCUUACCAAGGCAACGAUGCGUAGCCGACCUGAGAGGGUGAUCGGCCACACUGGAACUGAGACACGGUCCAGACUCCUACGGGAGGCAGCAGUAGGGAAUCUUCGGCGAUGGGCGAAAGCCUGACGGAGCAACGCCGCGUGAGUGAUGAAGGUCUUCGGAUCGUAAGACUCUGUUAUAAGGAAAAAACAAAUGUGUAAGUAACUAUGCACGUCUUGACGGUACCUAAUCAGAAAGCCACGGCUAACUACGUGCCAGCAGCCGCGGUAAUACGUAGGUGGCAAGCGUUAUCGGAAUUAUUGGGCGUAAGCGCGCGUGGCGGUUUUUAAGUCUGAUGUGAAGCCAACGCUCACCGUGG
rnacentral:rRNA from 1 species